rnacentral:rRNA from 1 species
AUUGAACGCUGGCGGCAGGCCUAACACAUGCAAGUCGAGCGAGCGGCGGACGGGUGAGUAAUGUCUGGGAAACUGCCUGAUGGAGGGGGAUAACUACUGGAAACGGUAGCUAAUACCGCAUACCAUCAGAUGUGCCCAGGUGGGAUUAGCUAUUAGGGGGGGUAACGGCUCACCUAGGAGACGAUCCCUAGCUGGUCUGAGAGGAUGAGCAGGCACACUGGAACGAAGACACGGUCCAGACUCCUACGGGAGGCAGCAGUGGAGAAUAUUGCACAAAGGACGCAAGCCUGAUGCGGCCAUGCCGCGUGUGUGAAUAAGGCCUUCGGGUUUUAAAGCACUUUCAGCGGGGAGGCGUUACCCGCAGAAGAAGCACCGGCUAACUCCGUGCCAGCAGCCGCGGUAAUAC